rnacentral:rRNA from 1 species
CACGUAGGCACCAAGCGUUGUCCGGAUUUAUUGGGCGUAAAGAGCUCGUAGGCGGUUCAGUAAGUCGGGUGUGAAAACUCUGGGCUCAACCCAGAGACGCCACCCGAUACUGCUGUGGCUUGAGUACGGUAGGGGAGUGGGGAAUUCCUGGUGUAGCGGUGAAAUGCGCAGAUAUCAGGAGGAACACCAGUGGCGAAGGCGCCACUCUGGGCCGUAACUGACGCUGAGGAGCGAAAGCGUGGGUAGCAAACAGG